rnacentral:tRNA from 2 species
GCCCCGGUGGCGAAAUGGUAGACGCGGGAGACUCAAAAUCUCUUGCCGCAAGGCGUGCUGGUUCGAGUCCGGCCCGGGGCACCA